AGUCAGGGGAGAGAAACGUGGUGUGAAUGCACCUUCACCGCCGAUGCAUUCGGCUUCCUCGACGGCGCACGGCACCGACACAAACAAGCCAUUGAAGUGUGAUUGAUUCUUACGAGGAAAGAGCUGGAGACUUCCACCGGCAAGACAUCUUGGUCGAAGCUUGACUUUUUCUUUUUUUUCUUUUCUUAGGAUGUACUGUUGUCCACUCGCGUUUCCCAUCUAGAGAGACUGGAUCCUGGGUAGGAUUAACAUUAAAUUCCGCUGUGGUAGCCGACUCCGAGAACAUUUGGCCAAUCGGUCACCGAAGGGCUGGAAAGAGAGCAGAGUGAACCAAAACUACUUCGCUUUUCAUCUCACAGAUUUUUCUUCUACCAGAUCAGUUUUAAUGAAGACCCAGAUCCUCCACUGACCGUCUGGCUGAAGGGACUCCAAGAAGAAGCAUGGGGUCGUCAUGGAAACCUCUUCUCCUGCUUUCCUUAAUCAGCUGCCUUUCAGACGCGGGCCGGGCCUUCGGCUGGUCCUCUUCGUCAUCGCCAUCGUCGCCAUCACUCCACUCACGGACCAGACGUAGACAGGAC